AUUCUUUUAGUAUAAUAAAGUAUAUUUAACUUCCAAUUAAAAGGUUCUAUAUAGAAAAGAAUA
rnacentral:tRNA from 1 species